rnacentral:misc_RNA from 1 species
GAAAUGCGAUAAGUAAUGUGAAUGCAGAAUUCCGUGAAUCAUCGAAUCUUUGAACGCACAUUGCGCCCUCUGGCAUUCCGGGGGGCAUGCCUGUCCGAGCGUCAUUACGCACCCUCAAGCCCGGCUUGUGUGAUGGGCCCCGGCGUCUCGUUCGCGAGACGGGCCCGAAAGGCAGCGGCGGCGUCGACCCGAUGAGCCCGAGCGUAUGGGGACUUCUGUCACACGUUCGCGGUGCGGACCGGCGCCUGCUUGACUUUUCUGAUUAUCCAGGUUGACCUCGGAUCAGGUAGGGAUACCCGCUGAACUUAAGC